CUUCAAUAAAGCUUUGUGUAUUUCCGUUUCAAGAGGUUCUUACUUGACUGUUGAACAGUGUUUCUUCUCUCUCCACAGCUCCUAGCCGUAGCAGAACUACGUAUUUCAGCACCCGAAGGACUAACAACCCAGCCGGCAUCUGCAGCGUAUAUCCAACGCGAUCAAACUUCACUCUGACAAGUAACUUCCUAUACACAACCACGCCGUCCUUUCGCCCGGACCAGCCCCGCACUCUUUCCGCCCGCUACCUAGCGGUCGCCGGAUCAGCAGAGCCUGCGGACUCUUCGGAGGCUGGUCUUCGUUGUGCUGCCCAAGGCGGAAGUUGACUCGCCCGAAAAUCGACCCUUCCAGUAACUUCUACCUUCUCUCUUUAUAUCCUCCUCCCAGGCGUGGCUCGCCCAACCAUCGCUCGCCACGUCACUUACACAGCUGUGCCUUGUUUCAGCGAGUGCGGGGAUUUGCCGGUGUCUGUACAAACCGGUCCGGGCGGAACCUCUUCACUCUCCUUUUGGUUCCGCCCCGCAUAGUCACUCCGUGACAACUGUUUGCGUUUUUUUUUCUCUUCAAUGUUCAAUACCCUUUUGCCAUUAAGCACACAGUGACUUUAAUUUAUAAAAUAUAUGCUUAAGUUUUAAUACCUGUACAAAACAAAUGUACAAUCAACUUGUGUAAAUUUUAAUAAAAAUUUAAGCUUUAAUUGCUUGUUCAUGUUAGUUCAGAGUGCAUUAACUAAUGUUAACAAGAUUUUAAUAAAGUAAUUGUUGAAAUUAACAUUAACAAAGAUUAAUAAAGGCUGUAUAAGUGCAGUUCAUUAUUAGUUCAUGUUAACUAAUGUAGCUAACUAAUGUUAACUAAUGAACCUUAUUGUAAAGUGUUACCGUGAUUUCUUUUCAUCAUUUCAGACACAUGUAAAAGUUACUAAAAAUUAAUACUGCAUAUACUGUACAGUAUCUAUGCGUAAGGGAAAUAACUUAAACAAAAUUUUUAAUGUAUAGUGUAAUUAAGAGUUUAGCUGUUUAAUACAGAGAUGCAAUUUAUUUAUAUAUAUUAUUUAUAUAUAAACGUAUGUAUGUUUAUUAAAAAGUGAAAAUGCUUAAUGGAAAUAAUUAAAUAACUAAAUGGUUGAAUGUAAUGAGACAUUUUAAAUGUAAACUAAAGUUUUGCUGUCUAAUACAGAAUAAAGAGAUGUGAUUUUAAGUAA